UAUCACUUGAUGAUUUAGGAUUCCAGCCAAUAUGCCAGGCCAGCGUCAGUAUGGAUAUUUCCGAUGUCCGUCCUGUAAUGGACACUGGGAGAGUGCCCAGGUCUACAGAAAAGGAAGCGGAGGCGAUGAUUACUACGAGCAGGAAUGCAAGAAAUGUAAAAUCGCCUGUAGACCCUACAGAGUAGAGUCGCUGCAGUGCCCUAGAUGUGGGAACCCUGCGCAGUCAUGCCAUUGUCCCAGAUCGGAUGAGCGUCACGUGGACCCGGAAAAGGCUCAUCGUAGUGACCUCUGCCACAAGUGUAGGUCGGGUUAUCCUUGUGGACACUAGGCACGUAUUGACCUCUGCCACAAGUGAGCCUAGGGUCAUCCGUGUGGACAUGUUUUUGGAAUGAAAUGUAAUUCCUUUAAGACUAUUCGUCAGCUAUGUAUAUACAAGUAGUGAAAGUUAUAACACGACAAAUAAUUCAACACAUUAAUAUUUAGAUAAAUGAGUAUUCAAAUAUGAUUUGCCUUCUUUGACACGCUUCUUAAUAUUUCAUAAUAGUACACUGUCUUCCUUAAAUGUUAGGUCCACGCUGAUAUUUUUGUUUGUCUUCAGGAUUUCAUAGUUUUGACAUCAAUGGUUGCUACACUCUUAAACUUUUCUAGUGGGGAAAGUUUUAAUCAUUUUAAUAUUUCUUUAACUGGAAAAACGCUAUUGUUUUUAUAGAAACCAAGACAGAAACACACUGAAAAUGACGCUAUUUGUUCUUCUGUGAAUUCGACGCCAUUUUGUUUAUAAGUGAUAUUAUAAGCAUCUCUUCGCGAGAUAGAUAUCCAGAUGCAGCCAAACCCGUUCCACACGACCUUCCAAGCAGAUAGUGAGCAGGUGUCCCAGAAAGAUCAGCAAAGUAUUAUUUCGCACUAGCUCGUCCUCACCUAGUCCUAUACAGAUUAUUUUGUUAUACUGAUACAAUGAAAAUAUGAUGCCAUCCUGAGAGUUCCUAAAGCCAUAUUUAAAGUACGAUUCAAAUAUGUAACGUGCACCUUUGUACUAUAGAUUUUUUUUCUUUUGGGGGUGGGGCUGUCAAUUAUUCAUAUCGAUAUCCAAAAAAUCAAUUCUCCUGUGCUGGUUUUCCACACUUUUGUGUCCUAACAUCACCGAGGAGAGUGGUAUUCCUUAUAAAUAUAGUAUUAUGUUGUUCAGUUCCCUACCUAAUCUGUAAUUGUUUUGUGUAUAUAUAUAGUAAUUACAUAUCCCGUAAAUAUCUAUAUCACAUUUACAAAAAGCAUUCGAAGGUAUUUAAAUGAUUGCUGUUUUACGAAAACACAACAAGGAAGUACUUAUUUGACAGUACAUGUACGGAAUAAGAAAAUGAAAAUCUACCUUACCCGGAAGUAUAUCAGUGAUCAAGGACAGGCUUUGUUGAUACUGAACUAUUGAUAAGAGGAAUGAGUAAACGACGAUUCGGACGACGUAACACCUCCUCUGGAGCGGAACUACGGAUAUUUUGGAUGUUCGUUAUGUAAAAGACACUGGGAAAGUGCCCAUGUAUACUGUGUCAAAGACACAAAAAAGAUAUGUCGAACUACAUAUUGCUUACCAAUGUGUUUGUUAAAUCACCAAUUAUUAAUAAAUGUCAAUACUUGUAAUGCA